AUACAACAAAGAAGACCUCGAGAAAGAAGAAGAAGAAGAUCGCUUUUGAACAUUUUUUUUUUUCCUCUCGAGAAAGACAUUUUCGUUGUUUUUGUUGACUUUUUUGCUUCUUUUUCUCUCCUUUUUU
rnacentral:ribozyme from 1 species